GUUUGAUUAUGGCUCAGAUUGAACGCUGGCGGCAGGCCUAACACAUGCAAGUCGAGCGGUAGAGAGAAGCUUGCUUCUCUUGAGAGCGGCGGACGGGUGAGUAAUGCCUAGGAAUCUGCCUGGUAGUGGGGGAUAACGUUCGGAAACGAACGCUAAUACCGCAUACGUCCUACGGGAGAAAGCAGGGGACCUUCGGGCCUUGCGCUAUCAGAUGAGCCUAGGUCGGAUUAGCUAGUUGGUGAGGUAAUGGCUCACCAAGGCGACGAUCCGUAACUGGUCUGAGAGGAUGAUCAGUCACACUGGAACUGAGACACGGUCCAGACUCCUACGGGAGGCAGCAGUGGGGAAUAUUGGACAAUGGGCGAAAGCCUGAUCCAGCCAUGCCGCGUGUGUGAAGAAGGUCUUCGGAUUGUAAAGCACUUUAAGUUGGGAGGAAGGGCAGUUACCUAAUACGUGAUUGUUUUGACGUUACCGACAGAAUAAGCACCGGCUAACUCUGUGCCAGCAGCCGCGGUAAUACAGAGGGUGCAAGCGUUAAUCGGAAUUACUGGGCGUAAAGCGCGCGUAGGUGGUUUGUUAAGUUGGAUGUGAAAUCCCCGGGCUCAACCUGGGAACUGCAUUCAAAACUGACUGACUAGAGUAUGGUAGAGGGUGGUGGAAUUUCCUGUGUAGCGGUGAAAUGCGUAGAUAUAGGAAGGAACACCAGUGGCGAAGGCGACCACCUGGACUAAUACUGA
rnacentral:rRNA from 2 species